rnacentral:lncRNA from 1 species
UCCAUUUUUUUAAAUCGUUGUUCCUUAUAUACAGGGUGUCCUAAAAGUCACUUUUUUGAAUUGAAAAAUUUACACUAUUUUUGACAGGUAUUUGAAAUGAUGACAUCAUAGGUCCAUAUUUCUUUAAAUACACUACCUGGAAAUUCAUAUCUUAAAAUGAUAAAUAAUGAAUUGUUAUUCUAUUAAUAAGUCUAUAUUGAUUUAUUGUUUUACUUUUCUUUCCUCAGGAUUAUUUUCUCGGGAUAUUUUCUUCUUUUGGGACUCUUCUAUUUGAAGUUUUGAUAUUAUAAGUCAUCAUAGAAGUUUUCGUUGACCUAUAAAAUAUAUUUCUUUGAAUAUAUAUUUUAAAGAAAGAGGAUGAAGUAAUCUUCAAGGAUGGUAAAAGUGAUCUAAGAAGUCAGCAGUUAUGCUACAAGUGCUACCUGGAUGUAAAUGGAUAAACUCAUUGCUUGGCAUCUUAA